rnacentral:lncRNA from 1 species
AACCCGGAGGCGGGGACGCUAAGCAAUGCGGCACUCCCCAGCAUCCAUCAGCACUGGCUUCCGCGGAGGUGGUGGCGGUGGCGGCGGGGGUGAUGCCAGCAUCAACUCCUCUCAGAGGGAUGGAGCAAGCAAAGAGAGCCGGUGGCUGCUACCCGGGCUGAGGAUUCGCCAGAGAGCAGCCUCUACCACCUCUUCCAAGGACAGCCCGCUGCCUCUGUCAGCAGGAAGGGUGGGGACCGGCAGAGCUAGGACCACUGCUGUCCCAGGUCCUCGCCCGGCUCAGCCAUUUUCGCCUUUGGGAGAGGAAGGAGGGAGAGGACAGGAACGCCUGGACGAAGCAGGCCACAAGGGCUGAGGCCGCCUUUACCUUUGUGCGCCCAAGGGGUGGCAAGACCAGCACCAGCUGUCCCCGUGCGCUCAGAGCCGCUGGGUCCCGCGCGUCCCUCGGGCUGCUGCUGCCACUCCUGUGCCGGCUGCUGCUAAAAGAGGACUCGGCUCAGCCCAACUCCUGAUUAUCCCAGCACAGAGCUUGAGGCGACACACCUUGGAGGGGCCUUGAAAGAUGGAGACCAUAGUACCUGUGCCUGCAAUAAAGGAGUGCAGCUCAGGACCCACGGCCUGACAUGUGGAAUCUGUUCAUCAUAUCUGCUGCCAGCAUUCCUGAAACUAUAAGACAG